rnacentral:rRNA from 1 species
AGUGAACGCUGGCGGUAGGCCUAUCACAUGCAAGUCGAACGGCAGCACAGGAGAGCUUGCUCUCUGGGUGGCGAGUGGCGGACGGGUGAGGAAUACAUCGGAAUCUACUCUGUCGUGGGGGAUAACGUAGGGAAACUUACGCUAAUACCGCAUACGACCUACGGGUGAAAGCAGGGGACCUUCGGGCCUUGCGCGAUUGAAUGAGCCGAUGUCGGAUUAGCUAGUUGGCGGGGUAAAGGCCCACCAAGGCGACGAUCCGCAGCUGGUCUGAGAAGAUGAUCAGCCACACUGGAACUGAGACACGGUCCAGACUCCUACGGGAGGCAGCAGUGGGGAAUAUUGGACAAUGGGCGCAAGCCUGAUCCAGCCAUACCGCGUGGGUGAAGAAGGCCUUCGGGUUGUAAAGCCCCUUUGUUGGGAAAGAAAUCCAGCUGGCUAAUACCCGGUUGGGAUGACGGUACCCAAAGAAUAAGCACCGGCUAACUUCGUGCCAGCCGCCGCCGUAA